rnacentral:lncRNA from 1 species
CUUAAAGAAAGGCUGAAAGACCUCUCGUAGCCUGCGGCGUUCCUAACUGGUUUGUACUUCCUUGGUUUUGAGAGCUAAAAACUUAAGAUCCACCCUUGAUCUUCAAGACAGGGAAUUGAAAGGUAGAGAAAUGGAAAUGCACACGGAGUAACCUGGGGAAGGCUGAGUGGUUCGAAUGAUGGAUCUGUAGCCUGGACUGUGAUCAGGUGGAGAACCAUGAUGGGAGCACAUGGAGGAAGACCACGCUCACCUCACUGUCAGCUGAGAAACAACAAAUAAGGAGAACCAAUCUGGAGACGGGAUAUGCAACCCUAAGGAGUAGGCUCUAUCUCCUGAGAGCAUCUUGCACGGCAAUCAAGCUUUUAGCACUGACUUUUGGAAGAACGUUUUAGAUCCACACCAUUCCACAAAGCAGAACUGCUGAAUCACACAAACUUAACUUCUGAGGAAGCUCCCCACUCUCCAAGUGUGUAGAGGCCACGCACAGUUGAAGUAGGGAAGGGAGAGAGUGAAUCUCUGCCCUUCCUGUAUGUUAACAGUGCAAUGAGAGAAGCACGUGGUUUGAGAAUAAUUCAUGAGAGGAACAUGUGUUUCAAAGGAUCUCUGUAUUUUCCCAGAAAUAGUUAAUAUGUUAAUUUUCCACCAAUUUGAAAACUAGCCUUUUUGGGUUUUCGGUUUACGGUGCUACUGUCUACCAAACUAUAGAUUCUAAGAGAGCAUAACAACAGCUACUUAAAAGUAUCUGUGUCGUUACCCGAAUAGAUGUUUUGAUGGCACAGCACUAAGUUAGAAAAGUACUGAAAGAUUAAUUCCGUACACUGCAUUAGCUCAAAUCAGCACUGAUGAGCCUUCCUCCAUUAAGUUGUGACUUAACAGUAAUAGAGGACAGCAUGACCCAUCUUAUAGUAGUUAUAAGCUGUUUAUAGUGAGCCAAAAUCCUAAUCUUUAUGCAUGUAACUCUUCAGCUACGUGUUUAAACUGUAAACAGUAUUGAAUAAGCACUAUUACAGCUGCUAGCUACCAUUGUCCAUAAAAUAGCCUCACAUUUCUCCCACUUGCACAGUUGCCGUAAGAACUGCUUUGUUGGGCUGGAGAGAUGGCUCAGCGGUUAAGAGCACCCGACUGCUCUUCCAGAGGUCAUGAGUUCAAUUCCCAG